rnacentral:rRNA from 1 species
AGGCGAUGAAGGACGUGCUAAUCUGCGAUAAGCGUCGGUAAGGUGAUAUGAACCGUUAUAACCGGCGAUUUCCGAAUGGGGAAACCCAGUGUGUUUCGACACACUAUCAUUAACUGAAUCCAUAGGUUAAUGAGGCGAACCGGGGGAACUGAAACAUCUAAGUACCCCGAGGAAAAGAAAUCAACCGAGAUUCCCCCAGUAGCGGCGAGCGAACGGGGAGGAGCCCAGAGCCUGAAUCAGUGUGUGUGUUAGUGGAAGCGUCUGGAAAGGCGCGCGAUACAGGGUGACAGCCCCGUACACAAAAAUGCACAUACUGUGAGCUCGAUGAGUAGGGCGGGACACGUGGUAUCCUGUCUGAAUAUGGGGGGACCAUCCUCCAAGGCUAAAUACUCCUGACUGACCGAUAGUGAACCAGUACCGUGAGGGAAAGGCGAAAAGAACCCCGGCGAGGGGAGUGAAAAAGAACCUGAAACCGUGUACGUACAAGCAGUGGGAGCCUCUUUUAUGGGGUGACUGCGUACCUUUUGUAUAAUGGGUCAGCGACUUAUAUUCUGUAGCAAGGUUAACCGAAUAGGGGAGCCGAAGGGAAACCGAGUCUUAACUGGGCGUUAAGUUGCAGGGUAUAGACCCGAAACCCGGUGAUCUAGCCAUGGGCAGGUUGAAGGUUGGGUAACACUAACUGGAGGACCGAACCGACUAAUGUUGAAAAAUUAGCGGAUGACUUGUGGCUGGGGGUGAAAGGCCAAUCAAACCGGGAGAUAGCUGGUUCUCCCCGAAAGCUAUUUAGGUAGCGCCUCGUGAAUUCAUCUCCGGGGGUAGAGCACUGUUUCGGCAAGGGGGUCAUCCCGACUUACCAACCCGAUGCAAACUGCGAAUACCGGAGAAUGUUAUCACGGGAGACACACGGCGGGUGCUAACGUCCGUCGUGAAGAGGGAAACAACCCAGACCGCCAGCUAAGGUCCCAAAGUCAUGGUUAAGUGGGAAACGAUGUGGGAAGGCCCAGACAGCCAGGAUGUUGGCUUAGAAGCAGCCAUCAUUUAAAGAAAGCGUAAUAGCUCACUGGUCGAGUCGGCCUGCGCGGAAGAUGUAACGGGGCUAAACCAUG